GAUGAACGCUGGCGGCGUGCCUAAUACAUGCAAGUCGAGCGAACGGACGAGAAGCUUGCUUCUCUGAUGUUAGCGGCGGACGGGUGAGUAACACGUGGAUAACCUACCUAUAAGACUGGGAUAACUUCGGGAAACCGGAGCUAAUACCGGAUAAUAUUUUGAACCGCAUGGUUCAAAAGUGAAAGACGGUGUUGCUGUCACUUAUAGAUGGAUCCGCGCUGCAUUAGCUAGUUGGUAAGGUAACGGCUUACCAAGGCAACGAUGCAUAGCCGACCUGAGAGGGUGAUCGGCCACACUGGAACUGAGACACGGUCCAGACUCCUACGGGAGGCAGCAGUAGGGAAUCUUCCGCAAUGGGCGAAAGCCUGACGGAGCAACGCCGCGUGAGUGAUGAAGGUCUUCGGAUCGUAAAACUCUGUUAUUAGGGAAGAACAUAUGUGUAAGUAACUGUGCACAUCUUGACGGUACCUAAUCAGAAAGCCACGGCUAACUACGUG
rnacentral:rRNA from 1 species